UUAGUUGAAACCAAAAAGAGGUAUGCCACUGUUAAUGACACUAAUGAGAAAUUCUCCAACUAAA
rnacentral:tRNA from 1 species